rnacentral:rRNA from 1 species
AUUGAACGCUGGCGGCAUGCUUUACACAUGCAAGUCGAACGGCAGCGCGGGCUUCGGCCUGGCGGCGAGUGGCGAACGGGUGAGUAAUACAUCGGAACGUGCCCAGUAGUGGGGGAUAGCUCGGCGAAAGCCGGAUUAAUACCGCAUACGACCUGAGGGUGAAAGCGGGGGAUCUUCGGACCUCGCGCUAUUGGAGCGGCCGAUGGCAGAUUAGCUAGUUGGUGGGGUAAAGGCCUACCAAGGCGACGAUCUGUAGCUGGUCUGAGAGGACGACCAGCCACACUGGGACUGAGACACGGCCCAGACUCCUACGGGAGGCAGCAGUGGGGAAUUUUGGACAAUGGGCGAAAGCCUGAUCCAGCAAUGCCGCGUGUGUGAUGAAGGCCUUCGGGUUGUAAAGCUCUUUUGGCGGGAACGAAAAGGACUGUGCCAAUACCACGGUUCGAUGACGGUACCCGCAGAAUAAGCACCGGCUAACUACGUG